GGGCCGGUGGCGAAAUCUGGUAUCGUGUCCCCUUGGCUAGGGGAAGACUCCGGGUUCAAAUCCCGGCCGGUCCA
rfam:Candidatus Woesearchaeota archaeon CG1_02_57_44 cg1_0.2_scaffold_1174_c, whole genome shotgun sequence.